rnacentral:rRNA from 1 species
UACGUAGGGGGCAAGCGUUGUCCGGAUUUAUUGGGCGUAAAGAGCGUGUAGGCGGCCAGGUAGGUCGGUUGUGAAAACUGGAGGCUCAACCUUCAGAGGUCGACCGAAACCAUCUGGCUAGAGUCCGGGAGAGGAGAGUGGAAUUCCUGGUGUAGCGGUGAAAUGCGCAGAUAUCAGGAAGAACACCCGUGGCGAAAGCGGCUCUCUGGAACGGUACUGACGCUGAGACGCGAAAAGCGUGGGGAGCGAACAGG